rnacentral:rRNA from 1 species
GAUGAACGCUGGCGGCGUGCCUAAUACAUGCAAGUCGAGCGAACGGACGAGAAGCUUGCUUCUCUGAUGUUAGCGGCGGACGGGUGAGUAACACGUGGAUAACCUACCUAUAAGACUGGGAUAACUUCGGGAAACCGUAGCUAAUACCGGAUAAUAUUUUGAACCGCAUGGUUCAAUAGUGAAAGACGGUCUUGCUGUCACUUAUAGAUGGAUCCGCGCUGCAUUAGCUAGUUGGUAAGGUAACGGCUUACCAAGGCAACGAUGCAUAGCCGACCUGAGAGGGUGAUCGGCCACACUGGAACCGAGACACGGUCCAGACUCCUACGGGAGGCAGCAGUAGGGAAUCUUCCGCAAUGGGCGAAAGCCUGACGGAGCAACGCCGCGUGAGUGAUGAAGGUCUUCGGAUCGUAAAACUCUGUUAUUAGGGAAGAACAUAUGUGUAAGUAACUGUGCACAUCUUGACGGUACCUAAUCAGAAAGCCACGGCUAACUACGUG